rnacentral:rRNA from 1 species
GACGAACGCUGGCGGCGUGCUUAACACAUGCAAGUCGAACGGAAAGGCCCUGCUUUUGUGGGGUGCUCGAGUGGCGAACGGGUGAGUAACACGUGAGUAACCUGCCCUUUACUUUGGGAUAACUUCAGGAAACUGGGGCUAAUACCGGAUAGGAGCUCCUGCUGCAUGGUGGGGGUUGGAAAGUUUCGGCGGUUGGGGAUGGACUCGCGGCUUAUCAGCUUGUUGGUGGGGUAGUGGCUUACCAAGGCUUUGAAGGGUAGCCGGCCUGAGAGGGUGACCGGCGACAUUGGGACUGAGAUACGGCCCAGACUGCUACGGGAGGCAGCAGUGGGGAAUAUUGCACAAUGGGCGGAAGCCUGAUGCAGCAACGCCGCGUGCGGGAUGACGGCCUUCGGGUUGUAAACCGCUUUCGCCUGUGACGAAGCGUGAGUGACGGUAAUGGGUAAAGAAGCACCGGCUAACUACGUG